GGGUUAGGCUCAGAGUUUGUAAAACCUGCUUUCUGGAAUACACCUCUGAUGAUAAGAGAGAAACAACAUGUUUACUUAGAAAGUCAGUUGCUAAGUCACUUAUCAACAGGUGAAGUGUAUUUUCAUCAUUCCUCUGCUUAUCCCUACAGUGUGGAUCAUGGUGGACAGUGCAGGAUCAAACCUGUCCCUAGGAGAUAUGCCUGUGAGCUCACACUGAACCCAAACACAGCACACAGAUAGCUCUCUCUGUCUGAGGAGAACAGAAAGAUGACAUGGAGGAGAGAGAAGCAGCCGUAUCUUGAUCACCAAGAGAGAUUUGAGAACUGGCCACAGGUGCUGUGUAGAGAGGGUCUGUCUGGGCGCUGUUACUGGGAGGCAGAGUGGAGUGGAAGAAGGGUUUCUAUAGCAGUGACAUAUAAAGGAAUCAGCAGGAGAGGAAGAGGUGAUGACUGUCUGCUUGGAUACAAUAACAAGUCCUGGAGUCUGUUGUGUAGUGAUAACAGUUACUCUGCCUGUCACAAUGAGAAGAGAACUGUCGUACCUUCCCCCCCCCUCCAGCUCCCACAGAGUAGGAGUGUAUCUGGACUGGCCGGCCGGCACUCUGUCCUUCUACACAGUCUCCUCUGACACACUGACCCACCUGCACACAUUCCACAGCACAUUCACUGAGCCCCUCUAUCCUGGGUUCAGGAUUUGGUCUGACUCUUCAGUGUCCCUGUGUCAGGUAGAAUUGCCCACACACUCACACACUGUGCUCACAUAGAUGUCAUUGAAGAUUGAACUGUAUACAGUUGGAAUUGAUAUCCCAGAGUGUUUGUAAAUAUUGGUGUGUGUAGAAUGUUUGUUUUGUUUUAAUUGUUGACAAACAACAAUCCUGUCUUUGAUCUCAGUUCCACUGAAUGUGAUGAACUAAAUAGUGUCUAACUGACUAAAUAAGGAGAAAUAAAGAUGUUUUAUACAGGA